ACCGCCCGCCGCCAUCUCGGGGGAGCCGCCCGCCCGCCGCCAUCUUGGGUGGGGCGGCGCCAUCUUGGGGCCCGGGCACCGCUGCCCGCUCCGGUGGCUGCUGCCGCUCGCUUACGGCAGCUCGGGUCUCGUCUUCUUCCCAGCAGGGAGAGCAGGGGAUACAGCUGUCCCCUGCCCGGCCAGGCUUGGCCUGACGCCGGAGUGGGAGGCGGGCAAUGUAGGCCGUUGUCCCUGCUCCCCACAGAUGUCGUCAACAGCAUCCACACCUCUGGCAGGUCAGGUAUUUCAGGGGAGCUCCCACCCCAAGGCUUGCCCCUGCCCCGAGCACAAGCUCUGGCUGCAUCCAGCAAAAAUUAGCGUCUUGCAUUGAGAAAACAGUUCUGUCUACAAAGGGAGAGCCCAAACACAUUUCCAUAUCGUAAUGGGGGUGUAGAGGCAGAAGUGUGCAACAUGGGCAUUACCACCUGCUCUUGGGGUCAGUGGCCAGACUUGCUUUUGGAAUAAACAGCUUAUGUGUAUGUUGCAAAGUACAUAAAUCAGCAGCUUGCCUGCCGAGGACUAACAAGGCAGGAUGACUGCAAAUCCUUUGCCAGCCUCCUAGGCUGCUGCAUCUUUGAAAGCCUUAAAGCACCGUGAGGGCCUGUCCAGGCAGACUCGGCACGAGGCAAAGCCAUGACCUGCUGCUAGCUGCCAGCCCUGCCUCCUCACGGCCCCUGGUGCUGAGAAAACACGUGCUGUGGUACGGAUCCAUCCCUGUUACACAGAGCCGGGCAUUUGCCAUCUGCCCUUCGGAGGCAGCAGCAGCCAUAGCUGCACGGAGGAACGGCUCUCUGCAGGGCAGGCCAGCCUCUGAGUACAGACACAGGCAGUGAAACCAGCAGAGCUACACACAGAGAAAAGGACUUUCGGUUUUCUUAAAAGAAUUUAUUAUUUAAAUUUUAUAUAAAAACCAUAGAAUCAAUUAACACUAGACCAUUGCUGGCUUCCCAGAGGGCAUCAGAACCUUUUCCCAUGAUAAAAAAUACAAACCACGACAACAGCUAAACACAUUGUUCAGAAUUUCAGUAAAGCCAUUUGAUUUCCAAAA